UUAUACGUACUAGAACUCUAUUCUCAGGAAUAAAGAUUUUUGGAUCAAGUUUAAACUUUGAGGAUGAAGUUCAUUUUUAAGCUGGGUAGAAUAUAAUAUUUGAGGAAUUAAUGCUUUAAAAUUUGAGAAUUUAAAAUAAAUAUGGUAAUGAGAAUUAUUUUUGGGUCAAAUAUAGAUUGAAUUGUGAAAAUGGUAUUGAACCUAUAUUUAUUAUGAAUAUCAUAAAGUAUUUUUUUUUAUGUUAUUUUCUUUUUAUUCUUUUCCCUAAAAUUGGUUUUCCUGAUUUCUUUUCUGCACUAAACCCCAAAACAAUAAUGUCUUCCCCAAUUCCUUAUUCAAUUGGAAACAACAAGCAACUUCCCUUCUUUUUGUUCUUCCUUCUGAUUUUCGAAAGCACAACUGGGAAUUCCUUCAUUUUUGGUCUUUGAUUGUCAAAAGUGCCAUAACUUGGUUCUUGUAUUAUUUUGGCUUGAAGCACAAACAAAAAUCAGCAUCAAGAAGCACCAUUUCAAUUCUUGUUCCAUCAUCUGAUUUUUCGAAGUUCCAAGCACCAAAACUUUUCUUGAACACCUUCGAACCAGCAGCUAGGUACACUCCAUUUUCCUCUGAUUUCGAAAAUAACAAACAAAAACCAAUAAGUAUAUUCUUCCUCUUUCUUUGAUUUUCAAUGCAUUAUUAAACAUUCAUCCUAUUUUAUUUUUCCUUCUAAAAUUGGGGAUUAAAUGUAUGUCUUCAUCCAUUUUCUGGAAAUUCAUGAAACCCAGAAACUAUUAUUUUCCUCCUCAAGUUUCGAAUUUUGGAUGCAGCCCCAUUAUGCUUUUUGUCCGAAAAUUCAAACACAAUAGCAGUUGAUUCUUGUAAAGACAACAACAAGCAACAUCCGUUCAUCGGUGACCAACCUUGAUUCUUCCCUAUUCUUGUGAGUUUUGAAAGAAGCCAACAACAAAACCUUCUUUCCACGUCUGAUUUCUGAGCGAGAUUACUUUCUUUGGGUUCCCAUUGCCGCCAUUUUUAUGAGGUCUUUAUCGAUUGAAUUGCGGUUGAAUUGGGAAUUCCCCAACUUUUGCAAUUUGCAUCCAUUAUUAUUGAAUUAUCAAAAAGAAUCUUGGGCCCUGUACAAUGUGAGGCAUUCUUUUGUUGAUCAAUUGGUCACUUUGUAGGUCCUCUUCACCCUCCCUGUCUUGAGUGAUGAUUGACUAACAUUGUGCCUACUGGAGACUCCUGAUGCUUAAUUUGUUUGCGUUACAGCUUGUGAUAAUUUCUGGUAAAUAGUAGACUUUGGCAAACUGAUUUUAAGUUUAUGCUGCCGUGAUCUCAACUCACCCUUUCAAGUUUUUGCACCAUAAACUUUUAGCAAUUUGUUGAAUUUAUUGCAAAUUUUGAUUUGACCCGAAACCUGACUAAUAAUGGUGGCACGAUUCAGAAAAGCCGAAAAAGGGUCAAACUCGAUUAUAUCGUAAACUAGAUCCUCUUGACCUAUUUUCCUUUUUUUUUUUAAGUACUCAGUUUCUCGUCAAUUUUUGGUUGGUAUCCACUCUAUUGCUUGUUAAUUUUUGUAUUGAGUUUGUUUCGAUUAUGAAACGAGGAAGUGCAAAAGACAAUACACCAGAAGUGGAAGCGUUAUCAAGAUCAGCGGUCAACGGAGGGGAAGUGACCUGAAUUCCUACAUCACAAAACGUUAGCCUUGCCCGGGGGUGAUCUUCCGGAAAACCCCUCCGUCGCUCAAGUCAGAUCAAUGAAUGAAUAAUAUUAACUUGAAUGUAAGGUAAUAUAUGGAGAUGUUGGAUGAUUGUAUUCGGGUUUUUUGGUGAAUAAUAAUUUAGGCAGAGUUUUGUUAUAGAAUAAUGAGCAUGAACCAAAAAUGGUGCUGGUAGGUUUUAUUUAUAAGAAUUAGAGGGAGUUAUUUCAGGAGAAAGAAGGAUAUGAUGGGUAUCAUGGGGAAUGGUGGUAAAUGAUGGGCAAUUACUUUAGGAUCAUGGAAGUUACUUGCUUGGUAGCCAAGCAAGACAAUUGAGAAAUUAAGAGAAAGCCCCUUGAUUGAAAGUCAAAGUCAAUAAAAAGUCAAAGGGUGUUAAAGUAAUGUAGUAUUAAUAAUUAAAAAAUAAAUAAAUAUUACCAUAACAUAAACUAAAAUUUAGAUGUCUUCGUUAUACAUAUAUAAUAAUAACCAUACAUAUUUUAAAGCAAUUUAUAUAAGAAUAUAGUCAAACUUUUAAUAAAAAAAUUACUUACCCUCGUGUUUUUGAAGGCAUGUCGAUAUGCGUCCCGAACACGUGUCAAUCCUUGUUUUAAUAUAUCACUCGGAUUGCUUUCUAAUAUAUUUGAACGCGAAACACUAAGGGGAGCAUUCCGCUGGUUUUUCGAUCAUUCCAUAAAUUUUCUAAGAUAAUCCAAAUCCCCCGCUUUUAACAAUUCCUUGAUAAAUGUAAUAUUUGAUUUCUUCAUCAUUUCACAGAAAUCAAUAGCAAUAUUAUCAAUAGGAUUUACAAAAGCCUCUUCACAUGUUGGGUAGAGACGAAUGAUAUUAUGCUCCAUGAGAUCAUGCAAUUCGAUUACAAACAUGAUUUGUAUUUCAACACUCCAGAACACAACAUUUUGAAAAAUCAAGUUCAGAUUUCCUAAAAGUUGUUGAUGAGUAAAUUUUAUCAACGAUUUACCAAAUGAUCUUAUCUCUUCACGUAUGGUAGUUGAAUUUCGGGCUUUGUUUUUUCCAAGAGUGUUGAAUAACACAGAAAGUUCGUUUGCCUCAUAUGCCCAAUCAUGAGUUUGACGUCUUGAUUCAUAGUAGGUGAAUACAACAUUGUUGUCUUCACUUACAUACAUGUAUCUAAAAUCAAGAAUCGGCCGAAACGACAAGACAACAAGUGCAACGACCGUGUUGACAACGCUGGGCACAAAUUUCUUUAGUUCCACAGUCAUAUACAUAACUUCAGAAGCCGAUAUAUUCUUGGAUGGAUCAUAAGAUAUUAAAACUUUUUGAAAACACCAAUCGAUCUUUACUUUUGAAAAUGGAUCAAAAUUUACACAUUUGACCAUUAAAACCGGAUCAUCACGAUCAACGGUGAAAAGAGGGAGGUGAUUAGGAAUCGUGUGGUGGUUCAUCACACGUCUUAUACUUUGAUGAAGGCUCUCUACUUGAUUUUGAGGGUUACAAUGCACUUCUUUGUAAAAAAGAGUAUCAUCUUUCCAAUAAAUCGAAACUUCUACGUGCUGAAUUUGUGUGUAACAUUAUGGAAAAUCUAGCACCAUGAUAAAAUGUUCGUGUCUUUCUUCAAAGGAAAUUUCAAAACCUGGUGGUCAGUAGCCGACGCACGAAGGACGGCCGAGAAGAACGGAGGGUGGCCGACGAAGAGUGAGUGGCGGCGGGUAGGACCUACUCUCUCCUUUUCCUACUUAUUUUGUUUGGAAAA